GAUGAAGAACGCAGCGAAAUGCGAUACGUAAUGUGAAUUGCAGAAUUCAGUGAAUCAUCGAGUCUUUGAACGCACAUUGCGCCCCCUGGUAUUCCGGGGGGCAUGCCUGUCCGAGCGUCAUUGCUGCCCUCAAGCACGGCUUGUGUGUUGGGCCUCCGCCCCCCGGCUCCCGGGGGGCGGGCCCGAAAGGCAGCGGCGGCACCGCGUCCGGUCCUCGAGCGUAUGGGGCUUCGUCACCCGCUCCGUAGGCCCGGCCGGCGCCCGCCGGCGACCCCCCUCAGUCUUUCCAGGUUGACCUCGGAUCAGGUAGGGAUACCCGCUGAACUUAAGCAUAUCAAUAAGCGGAGGA
rnacentral:misc_RNA from 1 species